GAGGAGAUGAUGGAGGCUUGGAGUAGGGGAGGAGAGGUGUGAGGAGAGGAGAUGGAGGCUUGGAGAGGUCAGAGGAGAGGAGAUGAUGGAGGCUUGGAGUAGGGGAGGAGAGGUGUGAGGAGAGGAGAUGAUGGAGGCUUGGAGUAGUGGAGGAGAGGUGUGAGGAGAGGAGAUGAUGGAGGCUUGGAGUAGUGGAGGAGAGGUGUGAGGAGAGGAGAUGAUGGAGGCUUGGAGUAGUGGAGGAGAGGUGUGAGGAGAGGAGAUGAUAGAGGCUUGGAGUAGUGGAGGUGAGGUGAGAGGAGAGGAGAAGAUGGAGGCUUGGAAUAGGGGAGGAGAGGUGAGAAGAGAGGAGAUGAUGGAGGCUUGGAGAGGUCAGUGGAGAGGAGAUGGAGGCUUGGAGAGGUCAGAGGAGAGGAGAUGGAGGCUUGGAGUAGGGGAGGUGAGGUGUGAGGAGAGGAGAUGAUGGAGGCUUGGAGUAGUGGAGGAGAGGUGUGUAGAUGAUGGAUGCUUGGAGUAGGGGAG
rnacentral:lncRNA from 1 species